rnacentral:tRNA from 1 species
GUUUGAGUAGUUUAAUUAGAAUAAUAAUUUGUGGUGUUAUAGGUGUUUUUUAAUCUCAAACU